rnacentral:snoRNA from 1 species
CUGUGGAGUCAAAGUGGCAUGUUUUAAAAUAACAUUUGAUCUGUGUCUCAAAAGCUCCAAAAUCAACCAGAUAUGCGAACGGCAUCCUGCAUAUCCAUUAUGUUAUAGCAGAUGACUUGUGUUUGUGUACAGUA